rnacentral:rRNA from 1 species
UACGGGGGGGGCAAGCGUUGUUCGGAAUUACUGGGCGUAAAGGGCUCGUAGGCGGCCAACUAAGUCGGAUGUGAAAUCCCUCGGCUUAACCGGGGAACUGCGUCUGAUACUGGAUGGCUUGAGUUUGGGAGAGGGAUGCGGAAUUCCAGGUGUAGCGGUGAAAUGCGUAGAUAUCUGGAGGAACACCGGUGGCGAAGGCGGCAUCCUGGACCGGCAUUGACGCUGAGGAGCGAAAGCCAGGGGAGCAAACGGG